GUCAAAAUUUUAUAUAUGAAUGUUAGUUGUGUAGUUUAGUAGCAUUUCGGGGUGUUUGUGGAUCCCGGGGUGUUACAGUGUCGGUCAGAGGUAUUCAACAUGGAAUUGGAAUUUUAUCUUACAGUCCACUAGGAAGAGGGUUUUUGUGCAGUGGAGCAAAACUAGCUGUCAGAGCAGGACUUCCGCAUGAUGAACUCAAACUAUUACCUAUAUGUGCAUAAUACAUGGUUCAGCUAUGCUUGCUUUUAAACAUCUCCUUGAUCUUUGAUACAUUAUUUGGAUUCUUCUCAAGUACUUGAUAUAUACAAGGAUCGCAUCCACGAUGCUUGGAGCAAAAUGCUUGAUAUAUGCAAAAUGGAACUAUCCAUACAUGAGCAAAAUAGAACUAUGCAUAGUUCCAGUUUUCUCUAUCUAAAUAACCAUUAACUGUAGUUGAUUAAUGGGCUUGUUCAAGUAUAGUGAUGAGAUAAUUAUUUCCCUGUCUAAUCACAGUUGUUGAAUCAAUAAGAAAAAAAGCAAUAGAUCAUGAUAAUAAUGAGGCAUUAUUCCUUUAAACCUUUACCAGUAAAUGUUGUGCGUGCCUGAAAUAUUGAUCUGGCAUUGGUCAUUGAAGCAUAAUGUAUUCUUAUUUUCUAUCUUUUCAAAUUUCCAGUUACUAGAUUUAAUCACCCCUGUGUCGUAUACUCGUAUAGCAGGGGCUGCCUCAUGGGAAACUUGGUUGGGCCAUUGAUGAGGAUUUUGGUUCGUUUGAGGCACUUGUGUAAAGAAGAUGAAUGCAGAAGGCGCUUCUAUUCAAUUUUGACUAGAAAGAGAUUUCAUCCCCUCCAAUCCCCUUUGAUCUAGACGCAACCGAACAAACCCUCAUGUGCAAACUUCUGGAACUGGGUUUGCCCCUUUAAGGCAAUUAGUAGUUUAGUUCAUAUAUUAAGUUUUAUGUAUCAGUUUAGAUUAUAUAUUAAGUUUCAUGUAUUUAGUUCAUAUAUUAAAAUAUUGAGAUCAAUAAUAUGUGCUAUUUAUUUUUAU
rnacentral:lncRNA from 7 species